UCUCUCUUAGCUCAGUUGGUAGAGUGCAUCGUUAGUAUGUUAUGAAAAUGAUAUCUUUAAUGAUGAGGUCAGUUGUUCAAGUCAGCUAGAGGGAA
rnacentral:tRNA from 1 species